rnacentral:rRNA from 1 species
AUGGCCAAGAAAGGCGCCGGCGGUGAGGAGAGUGUGGUCGUGCCGGCGCAGACGGAGCAGGCCAAGCAAGGCCCUCCCCGAAAGCGCAACCCGUGCCCCGGAAUCCGCUGCGUCGGCGGCCGGAUCUAUGACCCGGAGAACGGGAAGACCUGCCACCAGUGUCGUCAGAAGACGAUGGACUUUGCUGUGGCUUGCACGCAGCCCCGGAAGAAGGGGCUCUGUCCAAUCCACUUCUGCCACAAGUGCUUGUUCAACAGGUAUGGCGAGAACGCCGAGGAUAUGACCAAGGAGGCGGGCUGGACCUGCCCCAAAUGCAGGGGCAUCUGCAACUGCAGCUUCUGCAGGAAGAAGAAAGGGGAGACGCCUACAGGAAUACUGGCCCAUGCUGCCAAGGCGUCAGGGCACUCGUCCGUCCAUGAUUUGCUGAUAAAGGGCUCCGACAUGGUGGUUGCUGCACAGACGCUGUCCUCGCUCCCUAAGAAGAUCAAGAAGGAACGCAAGGAGGGCAGCUUAAAGAGGGCGCUAGGGACAGAUGAUGCUACCGGUGGAUUGUUCGCUGAAGGGGAUGAGAAUAUUAAGACUGAUCUCAAUGCACUUCCUUCAGUUCCUAUCAAAAAGAAGCUGAAGAAGAUCAAGAAGGAACACAAGGAGGGCAACAUAAAGAAGGUGCCAGGGACAGGCGAUGCUACUGAUGGAUUGUUGACUGAAGGGGAUGAGAAUACAAACACUGAUCUCAAUGCAUUUCCUUCAGUUCCUACCAACAAGGAGCUGAAGAAGAUCAAGAAGGAACGCAAGAAGGGCAACAUAAAGAAGGCCCUAGGGACAGAUGAUGGUACUGAUGGAUUGUUGGCUGAAGGGGGUGAGAAUGCAAGGACUGAUCUCAAUGCAGUUCCUUCAGUUCCUACCGACAAGGAGCUGAAGAAGAUCAUGAAGGAACACAAGAAGGGCAACAUAAAGAGGGCCCUAGGGACAGAUGAUGGUACUGAUGGAUUGUUGGCUCAAGGGGAUGACAAUACAGGGACUGAUCUCAAUGCACUUCUUCCAGUUCCCAUCAGCAAGAAGCUGAAAAAGGGCAACCACAGGGUAAAUGACAUGACUGCUGAUGAAAAGUGCCCUGUUGAAAUUAAGGGCGAACUUCACAUUAGGAAUGAGAGCACUGAUGUCCCAGGGACCAAAAUUGAGCUACCCAUAGGUACUCCAGUCACUGACAUUGCAGGGGCUGAGCUGGAGGUUGAUGAUGUUGGGUCUGCACUUCAGUUUCAUGAAUUCUGCCGCACAUUUGCAGAGGUUCUUAAAAUAAGAAAGGGACAGCCAGAAAAAGUUCUUCAAGUCAUCACUGGAGGAGGCCGUAUCGGGCGAGAGGUGCCUUCAGUUGUUGCUGACCUUCACAUUAGUUUGUUAUCUGUCAUCCAAGAAGACAGAGAAGAGAACCCUUCGGACUAUUCAAGGAAUGGUGAUGCUUGGAUAAUUGAUACUGGCAAAUAUAUUAGUGAAUCCACAGUUAUCUCGAAGGAACUGCCUGUUGAUUGUUUAAGUCAAGGGGUAUUAGGAUAUAAAAAAUUGAGCCCUUCUUUAAAGCUGCAUGUGCUGAAUUUUCUGUGUGAUGAGGCCCUUUCUACUGCAACAUUAAAGAACUGGGUUCUCAAACAGCAUGAAAGUGCAACUGAGAGAAAGGUUGCUGCAAGGGAAAAAUUCCGUGCUGUCAAGGAAAAGGAAAAGGAGCUUAAAGAAAAACUAACUAUUAAGAUGGCUAAACCAAGGUUUUUGAGAAAUGGAGCAGAAAUUAAUAGUCUCGUUUCUCAAAUUAAGGAGGCAUAUGAAGACAAGAAGGCAGUAAUAGAUGAGGAGAAGCUGGGAGGUCUAGUUAGGAAAAAGCCUGUCAGGAUAGAUGAAGGGGUUGCGUACUGGAAGCUGGAUGGUUAUUGUGAUAAGACAGCAAUAAUGCGCCAAGAGUUUGACGCAACAGAGAACACUGACAAGUGGUUUAUGUUCACCGAGGAAGAAGAAAAAGUAAUCAAAGGUCAUGUAGCCCCAAGGCCCCAGUUGAAGCGCAAAAACAAAACACAUACCUUGGCUGGGCACAAUGCUCUACCGAUCUCAAGCUCCAUGAAAACUCAGACUCCUGUUUCAGCUGUUUGA